rnacentral:rRNA from 1 species
CCUACGGGUGGCAGCAGUGAGGAAUAUUGGUCAAUGGCCGGAAGUCUGAACCAGCCAUGCCGCGUGAAGGUCAGUGCCCUAUGGGCUUUAAACUUCUUUUGUACGGGAGCAAUAAUGGUCACGUGUGGCCAGACGAGAGUACCGUACGAAUAAGCAUCGGCUAACUCCGUGCCAGCAGCCGUGGUAAUACGGGGGAUGCAAGCGUUAUCCGGAUUUAUUGGGUUUAAAGGGUGCGUAGGCUGUGAGGUAAGUCAGCGGUGAAAUGCCCCGGCUCAACGGGGUGAAGUGCCAUUGAUACUGUCUUGCUGGAAUGCGGAUGCGGUAGGAGGAAUGUGUGGUGUAGCGGUGAAAUGCAUAGAGAUCACACAGAACACCGAUUGCGAAGGCAGCUCACGAAUCCGCGAUUGACGCUGAUGCACGAAAGCGUGGGUAUCAAACAGGAUUAGAUACCCUAGUAGUC